CAAAAACACCUUCUCGCACCUAGCUCUCUCUCGACCCAGCAGCAACCCUAGGUAACCCAAAGGAACAACCCAGCAACAUCCCAUCCAUUACCAACAACCCAACCUAGAUUCCCUUGAUUCCUUUCCAUCAGAAAAGACAGAAGAUUCCUUUGCACUCCCCAAACCAGGUUUUCCCAGAACUGGAGUUCUUCGAUUUCAAGAGCUGGAGUCCGAAGUAUUCAGUAUUGUUAAUUGCAUGAUAAGCUCAUUCUUCCUCUUAGGGUUUCGACUUCGAUUUGUUUUGGAUUUUAGGGUUUUGUUGGGAUAUUGAUUUGGGGGUUUUGCUAAUCUUCUUUGAAAUUAGAUCGGGGCAUUAGGGAUUUUGUUGAUUUACACAUUGGAGGUGACUGAAAUGGAAUUGAAUUUUACUCAGGUUUAGGGAUCUGGUACUGGGUUUUUGGAUUACCUUAUUGGUUUAUUCUUUAAUUCAAUUUGGGUGUUUAUUAGCUAUAACCUUUGAAUAAAAUUUGCUUAAACUUUAUGGGUGUUCUUCAAAUCGUUUUGAGCUGGACUCCGAUUCAUCGUCGUUGUACUAUCUCCAGCUCUGAAGCCGUCUCUGCUCACUAUACCCAGAAGACAAGACCUUGAGUAUGAGUAACAAAUGGAUGGACGUAAGUACAGAUUACAGGGCUGGAAGAACAGUAGUGGAUCCUUUUGAGAGAUCUACUUAGGUCCGCACAAAAGGCUGGAGUUUUUGCUGCAUCAAUCUGCGAACAAGUCCUAUGCAGAUUGUGGAUCUUCAGAUCCAAAAUGGCUGUUUGUGAGGUGGACAAAAGGCUCAGGGUCUGCCGUCGAUGGAUCCUCGGGAUUGCUACGCAGGGGAGAGGACCGUGAACGAGGUUGAGUGUGCGUUCGUUGGCAGAUUUGGGCUGGGAUGAGAGGAAGCAGAAGGCGGGGGAGGGGUGUUCUGUGAUUGUAAUAUGGAUAGCUUCUCUGUUCAAAAUUCUCCAUGGUUCAUACUCACCUUCCAAUGGCACUAUCUUGGAUGAUUCUAAUAAUGGUGGGUGUUCUGCACGAGCGUUUGUAUUUUACAUAGUGUUUUUUUUCUACUAUUGGUUUACUAUAAUGUGUUGUUGAUAUCAAGUGGUAGUGCUAAGAAGAGAACUGCAUUGCUGGUUGUUGCCCACCCAGAUGAUGAGUCCAUGUGAGCAUAGCUUUACAAAUUGCUUUAUCAUGUUUCAAGUCCAAUUGGCUUUAGUUGUGGCUGACUUCAGCUGAGUUUCUUUUUAGUGUAAUUUAUGUUGUGGAUCUUGAAUGAUGGGAUGGUAUGAAGGAGAAUUUAUCUGCAUCGUAUAAACAUCAGAUUGCCUCUUAUGAUGCCUUUUGAUUUUGAUGUCUGCAUAUAUUUUCAAAAUUGAUUGUUAUCCUUGAUGAUUAACAUCUGAGAAAAGUUCAAAGCCUGUUGCAGAAACUGCCCUCUGUGUGUGUGUGUGAGAGAGAGAUAUUAGGAUACUCAUAACUUGUAGUCCAUAAGUUGUUGAUCCAAGAAGUCAUGGAUAGGUGCUAACUUCUUUUGGAAUUCUGCAGAAACUGCCUGCAGCACAGCUCUCUUUGGUAUUUGUUUUACCCUACUUACUGAUCUUCAAAUAUUCUGAAAUUUUGAUAUGUUUCUUUUCUGUUAGUUAAUAACAGAUCUGGAAAGUUUCAUCUUAUUCUGAAGUAAAUUUAAUUUUCGGUGAUUUUUCCAAAUUUGGUCUGCAUUUGGGAAAGUUCCAGCAUUUUGAAUGUAUCCUCUGAUUUUCUGUUGAGAUUUGAAAUCCUAUUUGAAUCAUUUAACCUCUUAUUUUUAUGUAUAUUGAAUUAUGCAUUUGAAAUGGUUGUUUCAAAACUGAUUUCAUGUCAAUUGGACUUACAAUGAAUUUUUGGUGAAUUUUCUAAGUUGACCAUACUGCUGAGAUUUUUUUAUAUAACUCCUGCAGUUCAGUCAGAUUGUGUUCAUCUUUUUCCUUACUUUCCAAACUCCGAAUUGUAUGAAAUUUCAAUGUGUUUUACCUUAACAUGUUUACUAUGAGUCUGCAAAAUUUCAAGUUCAUGGCUAUAUCAAUGAAUUUUUAAUAAAUUCCUAAAGCUAAGCUGUUCAUGCCUUAACAUUCCAGUUCACUUACCUUUUGAU